rnacentral:rRNA from 1 species
GACGAACGCUGGCGGCGUGCCUAAUACAUGCAAGUCGAGCGGAAGUUGAAGAGCUUGCUCCUCAUGAUCGAGCGGCGGACGGGUGAGUAACACGUAGGCAACCUACCCUUGAGAUUGGGAUAACUACCGGAAACGGUAGCUAAUACCGGAUACGACUUUUCCACAUAAGUGGAAUGGUUAAAAGGCGGAUUUACCUGCCGCUCCUGGAUGGGCCUGCGGUGCAUUAGCUAGUUGGUGAGGUAGUGGCUCACCAAGGCGACGAUGCAUAGCCGACCUGAGAGGGUGAUCGGCCACACUGGGACUGAGACACGGCCCAGACUCCUACGGGAGGCAGCAGUAGGGAAUCUUCCGCAAUGGACGAAAGUCUGACGGAGCAACGCCGCGUGAGUGAUGAAGGGUUUCGGCUCGUAAAACUCUGUUGUUAAGGAAGAACACUUGAGGUAGUAACUGGCCUUGAGAUGACGGUACUUAACCAGAAAGCCACGGCUAACUACGUGCCAGCAGCCGCCGUAA